rnacentral:rRNA from 1 species
UACGUAGGGUGCGAGCGUUAAUCGGAAUUACUGGGCGUAAAGCGUGCGCAGGCGGUUAUUUAAGUCAGGUGUGAAAGCCCUGGGCUUAACCUAGGAAUGGCAUUGGUGACUGCACGGCUAGAGUGUGUCAGAGGGGGGUAGAAUUCCACGUGUAGCAGUGAAAUGCGUAGAGAUGUGGAGGAAUACCGAUGGCGAAGGCAGCCCCCUGGGAUAACACUGACGCUCAUGCACGAAAGCGUGGGGAGCAAACAGG